rnacentral:rRNA from 1 species
ACGAACGCUGGCGGCGUGCUUCACACAUGCAAGUCGAACGGAAAGGCCCUUCGGGGUACUCGAGUGGCGAACGGGUGAGUAACACGUGGGUGAUCUGCCCUGCACUUUGGGAUAAGCCUGGGAAACUGGGUCUAAUACCGAAUAGGACCACGCGCUUCAUGGUGUGUGGUGGAAAGCUUUUGCGGUGUGGGAUGGGCCCGCGGCCUAUCAGCUUGUUGGUGGGGUAAUGGCCUACCAAGGCGACGACGGGUAGCCGGCCUGAGAGGGUGACCGGCCACACUGGGACUGAGAUACGGCCCAGACUCCUACGGGAGGCAGCAGUGGGGAAUAUUGCACAAUGGGCGCAAGCCUGAUGCAGCGACGCCGCGUGAGGGAUGACGGCCUUCGGGUUGUAAACCUCUUUCACCAGGGACGAAGCGUAAGUGACGGUACCUGGAGAAGAAGCACCGGCCAACUACGU